UACGAAGGACCCGAGCGUUAUCCGGAUUUAUUGGGUUUAAAGGGUGCGUAGGCGGAUUUAUAAGUCAGUGGUGAAAGCCUGUAGCUUAACUAUAGAAUUGCCAUUGAUACUGUAAGUCUUGAGUAUAGUUGAGGUGGGCGGAAUGUGCAGUGUAGCGGUGAAAUGCUUAGAUAUUGCACAGAACACCGAUUGCGAAGGCAGCUCGCUAAACUAUAACUGACGCUGAGGCACGAAAGUGUGGGUAGCAAACAGG
rnacentral:rRNA from 2 species